rnacentral:misc_RNA from 1 species
GACCUUUGGUAUCUUUCUAUAUGAACUGUUAUAUGGAAGGACACCUUUUAAAGGACCAGGAAAUGAGGAUACAUUAGCAAAUGUGGUUUCUCAGUGUCUCAAGUUCCCUUCAUAUCCUGUGGUUAGCUCUAGUGCGAGAGAUCUGAUCAGACGGUUAUUACAAAAGGAACCAGAGAAUAGGUUGGGAGCUGAGAAAGGAGCUGCAGAGAUAAAGCAGCAUCCUUUCUUCGAGGGACUGAACUGGGCGUUAAUACGAUGUGAAACACCUCCAGAACUGCCUAGAUUCUGUGAAUUGGGAAAUGUAAUCCCUGAUACCAACCAACAGAACAAGGAGAUUGCCAAGUCUCACAAAGAGUUCAAGUAUAG